GUGGUAGACAUUUAAUACCUAUGAAUGAGGCACAUACUAUUAUGAUGUCUAUUUUAGAGAUGGGGAAACCGAGGCUCAGAGGGGGUGCAUUGACUUGCCCAAGACUCCACAACUGAGCUGGGAUUUGAACCCAGGUCUCCUCUGAUUUCAAAGCCCUUGCAGUUUCUGCUGCACCACACUGUGGAGUGCUGGGUGGAGAAAGGAAGUGUUCGCUUCCUCUGCUGCAGUGUGGACUAGCUGUUUUUGAUGAUCAAAGGAGACUCACAAUGGGGCUAGGUAGGAACGUGGCUGGGCUGAUAAAUGGCCAGUCUAUCUGCAAACCUGCCUAACUGAGAGGUGGGCCCAUCUGAGCACUUUCCUGCCUCCUUCUCAAGCCUUCUAAGGCUUCCCACUGCCUAGAGGAUAAAGUCCCACUUCUUCAUGUGGCAUUCAAUGUCCUUCGCAGCCUGUCUCCAAGUGCUCCCUUGUCCCUUGUCGUGAGCUUGUCCAGCUGGUCUCGCUGCUCCUGAACUUAACCUCCUGGCUCCAUGAUUCUGUCCCUGCCAUCUCUCCUCCCCAUCACUCCAACCUGGGGCACACUCUCCCCAUUCCAAGCCUUGUCCUCUUCGUCCCCUUGCAGGGGCCUUUUGGGGCAAACCUCUGUCACUCCCCUUCCUGGUGCAUAAACUACUCACCCCUCCCUGGAGCUCCUCAAGCCCCUGCCUCAGCCCAAGCCCACUUGGACCUGGACCUGUCACUGGAUUCGUUCACACGGGCCAAGCUUUCCCACUGGCCCAUGUCUGAGGCCAUCAUCUCUGUGGCCAGUGCACAGGGGAGGACGCUGCACCAGUUUAGGAACUGCACUAACCACAAGGAGAGUAAGAAGCAGGAGUGAAAUGGCCAAAGGCUGGAUUCAGGAAGUGGUGAGUCAUGGGUCAAACCCCGGUGCUUCCCCUUUUGAGCUGGGUGGCUUUGGGAAGUCAUUUCCCCUCUCUGACUCUCAGUUUCUUCGUCUGUCAAAUGAGUACAAUACCCUCUGAAGGGUAAAUGUAGUAACAUGAGGCACCUUCUACUAUCUCCAGUGCAGAUGCUAAGAAAAAAUCUCUCUGUACUGUCUGCUUUCCUAUAAUUUCCAGGCACUCACUGUGCCCUGCAAACCAUGCUAGGCAAAGUCUCCCAGGAUGCCACCUCAUGUCUUCAUUUCCAGGGACACGCCAAGCUUGUUCCUGCCUCAGGGCCAUUCUGCUUGCUGUUCCCUCUACCUGGAAUGCUUUUCCUCACAUUUUUGCAUGGAUGGCUCCCCAUCAUUCUGAUCUCAGCUCAUGUGUCACAUCCCUGACCACUCAAUUCAAAGUGGCCCUCUGUGGCCCCAAUCCCUCCUUAUCCUAUCACUCUAUUUUCUUCAUAGUGCUUUCAGCAGUUAUUCCAUUUAACCAUUUGCUGUCUGUCUCUCUGCAGGAGAAGGCAAACUCCACGUGGGCAGGGAUCCUGUUUUAUCAUCUCUGCUUCCUCACUGCACAGAACAGUGCCGGGCACAACUCAAUGCGGAGUUGCUGCCUAAGCCUGUGACCCUGAGAACGCAGGUGCUGCCAGAAUGGAACCCUUAGAGCGAGCUGGACUCUGGCAGCACACAUGGCCUGUGAGGACCCCUUCUCUGUCUCCCACAGACCCUCAAUGGCCUCCCAUUUCCAUUUUUGUACCCCACAGUCUGGGAGCUCCACCCCAGUUCUGUCCUUGGCUGAGUCAUCUUGGUGUCCCCAGGCCUGGCUCAGGGCCUGGCAUGGAGGAGGAGCUGGGUAAAUGUUUGUGGUGUUAAAUUGGACCAGUCUCCAGCUCCUCACUGCCUCCACAUCUGAGGAGCCCCAGGGAAGGGGCCGGCAAAGAGAGAUGAAAGAAGGGAUCGCUGAGUUUGCAGUUUGAGUUUCUGGUUCCUGGGCCAGCCAGUGGGCAAGGAAGGCUGUUAGACUCAGGAAGGAAAGAGCUUUGGAGUCACUAGACCUGG
rnacentral:lncRNA from 1 species